rnacentral:rRNA from 1 species
UACGGAGGGAGCUAGCGUUGUUCGGAAUUACUGGGCGUAAAGCGCACGUAGGCGGCUAUUCAAGUCGGGGGUGAAAGCCCGGGGCUCAACCCCGGAAUUGCCCUCGAAACUAGAUGGCUAGAAUCUUGGAGAGGCGAGUGGAAUUCCGAGUGUAGAGGUGAAAUUCGUAGAUAUUCGGAAGAACACCAGUGGCGAAGGCGACUCGCUGGACAAGUAUUGACGCUGAGGUGCGAAAGCGUGGGGAGCAAACAGG